rnacentral:piRNA from 1 species
UGAAGACUCGGGGUGGAGCUGAUGUUGU